rnacentral:rRNA from 1 species
UACGUAGGGUGCAAGCGUUAAUCGGAAUUACUGGGCGUAAAGCGUGCGCAGGCGGUUAUGCAAGACAGAUGUGAAAUCCCCGGGCUCAACCUGGGAACUGCAUUUGUGACUGCAUGGCUAGAGUACGGUAGAGGGGGAUGGAAUUCCGCGUGUAGCAGUGAAAUGCGUAGAUAUGCGGAGGAACACCGAUGGCGAAGGCAGCCCCCUGGGCCAACACUGACGCUCAGGCACGAAAGCGUGGGGAGCAAACAGG